ensembl:lncRNA
CAGUUUAGUAAACAACAAUUUUCAAAUAUAUGUGUUGCCAUGAGACAUCUAACCGUUAGAACAUAUCGGCGUUCUAUUGAACGUUUUCUGUUCGAAAACAAGAACAACUUCAAUUUGCUGUUUAACAACAACAAACUUGUCUGAUUUUUGAGACCUGAGAUUGAAACAUCGACUGGAAAAUGCCUGGGUGCUUUUCAAGAUUGACGGAGCGAGUGCGAGGACGUCGGCAGCCUUCUGCGUCGACAGGUUGUUCAAAUUCAUUUAUGGGUUGUUUUUGUUGUCUUUUUCCGUUUUGCAGGGUUCGCGAUCGUCGGGAGGUGGACAGCGACAGCGACUUCGAAGAGGAAUCAACUGUGCUGGAUGAGGUCCAGUUGGAUGUGCCACUGCUGCCAGUUAUCCUUAAUGUCCAGGAUGCUGCUAUCAUCCUCAAAAAUGUGCCAGAUGUGCUGACUAUCUUUGAGGAGGCCACUGGUAAUUGGCAGCUGAUACCGAUUAGGUUCAGCCCCCUGUACUGUGGGCCUGUUGUGAUCAGGAACAAUGCCGGUCCGGUGGCUAAAGCCUGGAGAACUUUCCAGUUCUUCAGCCCCUCUAUCACCUACAUGCGUGGGGGAUCCCAGCAGGUGGUGGUGAGGAGGCACCAUGUGAGUAGGGUUCGAGGCCUGGAGACUCAACUGGUGUGGGCCAUCUCCAAGGAGACAGCCAGGCUUAGUCCAGAGGGCAUCCCCUACUGUGCCACCAAGGUGCAGUCCGUCACUUGGAUCCAGUAUGUGGCUGGCAGGGUGACCCAGUAUGUGUCUCACCUCCGCCACGAGACGUCUGUGGACGUGACGUUUGGCUGCUACCAGCAGACUGAUGUCUCAGUGGUGUAUGCCACUCUCCACAUGGGGCUGGAUGGGCUGCUCUCCUCCUCGGCGUGGUCGGAGGCUGCCUCCGUGUCUACGCCCACCAAUCAGCAGUUCACUGAGCCAGAGCCUGAGGGCCACAACUGCUAUGAGGGCUGGGAGGAGGACCUGCUGCCUGAGGAGAGAGAGGUUCCUCUGCUAAACCUCUACCUUACCACCAAGAGAGUGGAGGACAUCGCCCUGAGGCUCGUCUCCCUGCGCCAGGCCUUCACUACACUGUUUGGUUCCACCCUGGGCAGGAACCAUCUGUUUGUGGCAGGAAAGGUCCUAAUGGGUGCACUGGUUCAGGCCCACCACAUGGACGAGGCCGAAUUCAUCCGUGCCUAUAAUGACUUUGUGGACUACCUGAGUGACCCCUCCAAGAAGAUUGACAUUGAGAGGGAGCUGGUUGAGGCAAAGAUCCAUCAUGUUAACCUGAUAGAUGUCCUCUUUGAACUGGUGCUGUUUGGGUUGAUGACAGCUCAGAAGUCCCUGAUGGUGCACCCUGGUGGGUUCAUGGAGCGUCUGUACGCUCUCCUGUACUCCUUCCUGCCCGCUGCUGCCAGCAUUGAGCCAAAGGCUGAGAGAUACCUGCUGCUGCUCAAUGUAAGAGUCAAGAGUUUACUUCCUUAUUCCUAGUAGACUUUUUCCUGAUUAACAGGGUUUCAAUUACAUUUUACAGGGAGUAACUCUCAUUGUCUCUCUGCUCUUGAUAAGCUAGUAACUCAGAGCCAUUAUCUAUGUGUUGUGUGGUGUUCUCUUCAGGGCGGGCUGAUGGCUCUGCUAGAUGACAUGUUUGGGCAGCAGCUGGCCUGGUACUUUAACCCAGUGUCUCUGGUCACUGAGCUCUCCAGCCUCCUGGAGUACCACCUGGAGAACCUCAUGGCCAGCAUGUAGUCCUACUGCAGAGAUCUGAAAGGCCACUCUCUCUCUCUCUGUCCAUCUCUCUGUUUUUGUCCAUCUCUCUCUCUCUGUCCAUCUCUCUCUCUCUCUGUCCAUCUCUCUCUCUCUCUCUGUCCAUCUCUCUUUCUCUCUCUCAGGAUUUGAGGACUUGAAGUGCUUCGUUGAACCUUGAUUAGUUAACACCCCAUUCAAUUAAUGUAUUCUCUUGUUUUCUCUCCCCACAGGAUUCUUGUGACACUUUGCCACCUAACAGGGAUCUAGACACUAAUGCACUACAUUACUUUGCACUGAAUUUUACAUUUUUAAAUAAAAUAACUAGUAUUUCAAUUGCAUUUGUCUCUGUCUUUCCAUUUACUUGAUUAUUUCAUCACUACUUCCUCUUCCUGGAGUUAUGAGGCUAAUAUUACAUGAACAA